rnacentral:rRNA from 1 species
UGGGGAAUAUUGCACAAUGGGCGCAAGCCUGAUGCAGCCAUGCCGCGUGUGUGAAGAAGGCCUUCGGGUUGUAAAGCACUUUCAGCGGGGAGGAAGGCGUUAAGGUUAAUAACCUUGGCGAUUGACGUUACCCGCAGAAGAAGCACCGGCUAACUCCGUGCCAGCAGCCGCGGUAAUACGGAGGGUGCAAGCGUUAAUCGGAAUUACUGGGCGUAAAGCGCACGCAGGCGGUUUGUUAAGUCAGAUGUGAAAUCCCCGGGCUCAACCUGGGAACUGCAUUCGAAACUGGCAGGCUAGAGUCUUGUAGAGGGGGGUAGAAUUCCAGGUGUGGCGGUGAAAUGCGUAGGGAUCUGGAGGAAUACCGGUGGCGAAGGCGGCCCCCUGGACGAAGACUGACGCUCAGGUGCGAAAGCGUGGGGAGCAAACAGG